rfam:Felis catus isolate Cinnamon breed Abyssinian chromosome F2, whole genome shotgun sequence.
GCCUGGUUGGCUAAGUUGGUUAAGCGUCUGCCUUCAGCUCAGGUCAGGAUCUCGUGGUCUGUGGGUUUGAGCCCCAUGUCGGGCU